rnacentral:rRNA from 1 species
GAUGAACGCUGGCGGCGUGCCUAAUACAUGCAAGUCGAGCGAACAGACGAGGAGCUUGCUCCUCUGACGUUAGCGGCGGACGGGUGAGUAACACGUGGAUAACCUACCUAUAAGACUGGGAUAACUUCGGGAAACCGGAGCUAAUACCGGAUAAUAUAUUGAACCGCAUGGUUCAAUAGUGAAAGACGGUUUUGCUGUCACUUAUAGAUGGAUCCGCGCCGCAUUAGCUAGUUGGUAAGGUAACGGCUUACCAAGGCAACGAUGCGUAGCCGACCUGAGAGGGGGAUCGGCCACCCGGGAACUGAGACACGGCCCAGACCCCUACGGGGGGCAGCAGUAGGGAAUUUUCCGCAAUGGGCGAAAGCUUGACGGAGCAACCCCGCGUGGGUGAUGAAGUUCUUCGGAUCGUAAAACUCUGUUAUUAGGGAAAAAAAAAUGUGUAAGUAACUAUGCACGUCUUGACGGUACCAAAGCAGAAAGCCCCGGCUAACUACGU